rnacentral:misc_RNA from 1 species
UUAAGUUCAGCGGGUAUUCCUACCUGAUCCGAGGUCAAUCUUUGGUACAGAGUACGAUUUUAACGGCAGAGCACCGUCGGACGCCCUAAACGAGGUGAAUUACUACGCUUGGGGUCGCAACGAGCCCGCCACUGGCUUUUGGGGUUUGCAGGCGCAAGAACCCCAACACCGAACCCGUAGGUUCGAAGGUGGAAAUGACG